UACAGAGGGGGCAAGCGUUGUUCGGAAUUACUGGGCGUAAAGGGCGCGUAGGCGGCCUGCUAAGUCGAACGUGAAAUCCCUGGGCUCAACCCAGGAACUGCGUCCGAUACUGGUUGGCUUGAAUCCGGGAGAGGGAUGUGGAAUUCCAGGUGUAGCGGUGAAAUGCGUAGAUAUCUGGAGGAAUACCGGUGGCGAAGGCGCAUCCUGGAC
rnacentral:rRNA from 1 species